CGUUUUCUGCUUUUGUCUGAGGUGAGCCUCAGGAGCUGGGAGAACAGACUGGUCAGCGGAGCCCGGAAUGGCUUGUCACUCCUUCCCGCAAGGCGGCUGGAGCUGGGCACACGCAGGCUGGCCACUCUGGAGCCGUGAGGGUGACCGCCAAGAUGAGGAAACAGAAGCAUGCGAAUGAAGUCACGUGCCACAGGUCACACCACCACAGAGCGGCAGGGAUGGAAUUUGAGCAGGUCUCUGGAAGGCGGGUGGCCCCUGGAGCCGGAGGAGCUGUCCCAGGGAUGACGUGGUCUCCGCGCAAAGGCGACGUGAACAAGAGGAGGGGGCCACCGGGUAAAAGAAGCCGGUGGCAUCACCAUUUACAGAGUUCCGGGUGCUGGAGCGUCGGUUUUUGCAGGUGUGGAGAGGAGGGGGUGAGCGGAUGGUGAAGCUGCCCUGCGUUGUUCAGAGCUGGGCGUUUCCCUCAGGGCUCGAGUGUGGCUUUACCUGACCUUGUGCGGCCGGUGACGUGAUCGCACAGGCCUUCUUGGGCUGUUCUUGUGUGCCCUUCUCUCCUCGGCUGCUUCGGUUUUAUCUGCACCUCUCACCCACCACGUUGAAUGGCAGCCCAGGCCCCCAGGCAUGCCGGGGGACCGGGAUGCCGUACACAGCGACCGUGGGCUCCUGACCGGUUGUCCUUGUGCUGGUAGGAAGCACGCAGGGAGAGACAGCCACUCGGGGGCUUACCGGUCAGAGCGCCGUGUGAGCCCUCCGGACACGGCGUCCGGCUCUCAUCUCCCCCCAAGGAGACACACACCCUGUUCCGCUUCUUGUGGCCACUUAACAAGGCGUCUUUCCACAGUAACACAUGAUGUAGCUCCCUUGCACUUCCAAAAAACGAAUUUUUGUGGUUAUUCAUAUGCUUUGUUUCAAAAUCCAAAAGGCAUAAAAUAAUGUCCCUUGAAAACCUCCCUCCCAGCCAUCCAGCGCCUUCUUUCUUUGGAUCUUUCCACGUGUUGGCCACUAGAGGAGGCUCCAGGAGAAAUCAUUCCCUCACCUUGCAGUUUUUAAAACACAAACGGUAAUAAUUUUUCUUUUUAAAGUAAGCCCUACACCCAACAUGGGGCUUGAACUCACAACCCCAGAUCAACAGCACCUGCUUGACCCACUGAGGCAGCCAGGCGCCCCAUAAAUGGCAAUAAUUCUUCUUAGAGACCGUUCCGUAUUAGUACCUAAUGAACAUACUCAUUAAUUAUUUUAUACAGCGACACAGUAUUUUAUUACAUGAAUGUAUCAAACUUAACUGGAUUCCAAGAACAUUUAGGUUGUUUCCAUUUUUUAA